UCCGGUGGUCAUAGGAGAGGGGCAACACCCGUUCCCAUGCCGAACACGGCAGUUAAGCCCUCUUCCGCCGAUGGUACUGCGGGGGCAGCCUCGUGGGAGAGUAGGUCGCUGCCGGGA
rnacentral:rRNA from 1 species